rnacentral:rRNA from 1 species
UAGGGAAUCUUCGGCAAUGGGGGGAACCCUGACCGAGCAACGCCGCGUGAGUGAAGAAGGUUUUCGGAUCGUAAAGCUCUGUUGUUAAGGAAGAACGAGUGUGAGAAUGGAAAGUUCAUGCUGUGACGGUACUUAACCAGAAAGGGACGGCUAACUACGUGCCAGCAGCCGCGGUAAUACGUAGGUCCCGAGCGUUGUCCGGAUUUAUUGGGCGUAAAGCGAGCGCUGGCGGUUAGAAAAGUCUGAAGUGAAAGGCAGUGGCUCAACCAUUGUAGGCUUUGGAAACUGUUUAACUUGAGUGCAGAAGGGGAGAGUGGAAUUCCAUGUGUAGCGGUGAAAUGCGUAGAUAUAUGGAGGAACACCAGUGGCGAAGGCGACUCUCUGGUCUGUAACUGACGCUGAGGCUCGAAAGCGUGGGUAGCAAACAGG